rnacentral:misc_RNA from 1 species
GAUGAAGAACGUAGCGAAAUGCGAUAAGUAAUGCGAAUUGCAGAAUCCGUGAGUCAUCGAAUCUUUGAACGCAUAUUGCGCCCUUUGGUAUUCCGAAGGGCAUGCCUGUUCGAGCGUCAUUAUCACCCCUCAAGCCCCGGCUUGGUGUUGGACUUAGUUACGGAUCACCAUAACUGGCCUCAAAGAUAGUGGCGGCGCCCCAGAGGGAACCGGUACGAGGAGCUUCCAGUUAAGCAUGUACGCGGGACGACUUUGCGUGCGACGGGUCUUUUUCAUUUCUCAAGUGUUGACCUCGGGUCAGGUAGGAAUACCCGCUGAACUUAAGCAUAUCAAUAAGCGGAGGA